AAGCAGCAUCAGGCAGAUAACUUGAUCUAAAGACUAUUUAUUUAUCUGUCCAAGGCUGCAAAU
rnacentral:pre_miRNA from 1 species